rnacentral:rRNA from 1 species
UCCUACGGGUGGCAGCAGUGGGGAAUAUUGGACAAUGGGCGAAAGCCUGAUCCAGCAACGCCGCGUGAGGGAUGACGGCCUUCGGGUUGUAAACCUCUUUCAGUACCGACGAAGCGCCAAUAACGGUGGUGACGGUAGGUACAGAAGAAGGACCGGCCAACUACGUGCCAGCAGCCGCGGUAAUACGGAGGGUCCGAGCGUUGUCCGGAAUUAUUGGGCGUAAAGGGCUCGUAGGCGGUCUGUUGCGUCGGGAGUGAAAACUUACAGCUUAACUGUGAGCUUGCUUUCGUUACGGGCAGACUUGAGGCAUUCAGGGGAGAACGGAAUUCCUGGUGUAGCGGUGAAAUGCGCAGAUAUCAGGAGGAACACCGGUGGCGAAGGCGGUUCUCUGGGAAUGUCCUGACGCUGAGGAGCGAAAGUGUGGGGAGCGAACAGGAUUAGAUACCCGAGUAGUCCCA